AUUGAACGCUGGCGGCAUGCCUUACACAUGCAAGUCGAUCGGUAACAGGUCUUCGGAUGCUGACGAGUGGCGAACGGGUGAGUAAUACAUCGGAACGUGCCCGAUCGUGGGGGAUAACGAAGCCAAAGCUUUGCUAAUACCGCAUACGAUCUACGGAUGAAAGCAGGGGACCGCAAGGCCUUGCGCGAACGGAGCGGCCGAUGGCAGAUUAGGUAGUUGGUGGGAUAAAAGCUUACCAAGCCGACGAUCUGUAGCUGGUCUGAGAGGACGACCAGCCACACUGGGACUGAGACACGGCCCAGACUCCUACGGGAGGCAGCAGUGGGGAAUUUUGGACAAAGGGCGAAAGCCUGAUCCAGUCAUGCCGCGUGCAGGAUGAAGGCCUUCGGGUUGUAAACUGCUUUUGUACGGAACGAAAAGACUCUGGUUAAUACCUGGGGUCCAUGACGGUACCGUAAGAAUAAGCACCGGCUAACUACGUG
rnacentral:rRNA from 1 species